AUAAUCACACCGGCAAACCGUUUGCGGAUAUUAUGGCUACCACAACGGCGCCUAUUUCUGCCGUUAAGCAGUAAUGUGUAAAGCCAGUUGCGUCCAUUGGUUUUCUAGCAAGAGAUGGGAGGAUGACGUUAAGAAAAUAGCUGGUUCAACAUAGACUCGCACUGC